GACAGAGGGUGCAAACGUUGUUCGGAAUUAUUGGGCGUAAAGCGCACGUAGGCGGUUUGUUAAGUCGGAUGUGAAAUCCCUCGGCUCAACUGAGGAAGUGCAUCCGAAACUGGCAGGCUUGAGUACUAAAGAGGGUCGCGGAAUUCCCGGUGUAGAGGUGAAAUUCGUAGAUAUCGGGAGGAACACCGGUGGCGAAGGCGGCGACCUGGGUAGAUACUGACGCUGAGGUGCGAAAGCGUGGGGAGCAAACAGG
rnacentral:rRNA from 1 species